AGUUGUCAUAGGGUAAUUCCCCAGGGUCACUGGAGUUACACCAGGGAUCACUUUCUCCUGUUAAGUGUCAACAUUGUUGACUACCAGACAUAGGACAUUAACGCAGGGGUGCUCAGCUACAAUGCUGAGCCAUCAUCUCCUCAGUGUACACUUACUCCUGGGAAGUUGUGAUGCAGCCCUGAACUAUGCAUACAAAUGAAUGGAGUGAGUAGUGAACUGUCAUAAGGGAAUAGGCAACAGUGUCAUUUUUACUAGAGUUUUACUCCCAAAAUUCCUUGAGUAUUCUUAAAAAAAAAAAAGAUAAAAAAGUGCAUUAGAGUUGUUAGGUGGCAGUGCAGCUCUCAUGAAACACAAAGGGAUGAGAACUACACAUCACGAGCCAGGUGCUGAAGUGACAGAAUCAAUAUUCAGUGGAUUAACAUCUGUUUAUACCAGGUGAGGAUUUAGACCAACGCUGUAAGCUAAACAGUGCAGACUGAAUAUGAAAUGAGUUUUCUGCAGAUAUUAGGGCUGGAGGGAAUGCAUAGCAGGUUUGCCAGUGUUAACCCUAACUGCUGCUUUUUUUUUUUUUUUUUUUUUUUUUCUUCAGAUUGGAUUGGCUGCAAGAAUGGGGUCAGCUCAGCCUCCCGGUAGAAUCUUAAUUACAAUUUCUUGUGUACCUGCCAACAUGGAAUCUGAUGGGUACAACACCAGCAUGCUGCCUGCUGUGUCAGCUGGGAAGGGAGAAGUCCCAGCCUGCCCCUGCAGGGAGCAAGCUCCUGGGGUCUGCCUGGAGCCUGCGUCGACCAAGAUGCCACAAACCAGCUUAAGCAUGAUGGCUGAGGAAGAACUACAACUCAGAGGAACCUCGAGCAUGGCUGUUGGCCACACUACUGGCAGCUCAAUAUAUGUUUUUUCUCAUCUACCAUGA
rnacentral:lncRNA from 1 species